GACGAACGCUGGCGGCGUGCUUAACACAUGCAAGUCGAACGGAAAGGCCCUGCUUUUGUGGGGUGCUCGAGUGGCGAACGGGUGAGUAACACUUGAGUAACCUGCCCCUGACUUUGGGAUAACUUCAGGAAACUGGGGCUAAUACCGGCUAGGAGCUCCUGCUGCAUGGUGGGGGUUGGUAAGAUUCGGCGGUUGGGGAUGGACUCGCGGCUUAUCAGCUUGUUGGUGGGGUAGUGUCUUACCAAGGCUUUGACGGGUAGCCGGCCUGAGAGGGUGACCGGCCACACUGGGCCUGAGAUACGGCCCAGACUCCUACGGGACGCAGCAGUGGGGUAUAUAGCACUAUGGGCGGAAGCAUGAUGCAGCAAAGCCGCGUGCGGGAUGACGGCCAGCGGGUUGUAUACCGCUUUCGCCUGUGACGAAGCGUGAGUGACGGUAAUGGGUAAAGAAGCACCGGCUAACUACGUG
rnacentral:rRNA from 1 species